GUUCAAGUGGUGCAUGUGGUUAGCAUGUGACACUUGUAAUGCUGAGGUUGUGAGUUCAAGCCUCAUUUAGAACA
rnacentral:tRNA from 1 species